rnacentral:tRNA from 1 species
GCCUUCGCGGUGUAACGGUAACACACUCGGUUCCUACUCGAGAGGUCCAGGUUCGAGCCCUGGCGAAGGCA